GCGAACGCUGGCGGCGUGCUUAACACAUGCAAGUCGAACGAGUGUAGCAAUACAUUCGUGGCGAACGGGUGCGUAACACGUGGAUAACCUUCCUUGAGGUGGGGAAUAACCCCGCGAAAGCGGGGCUAAUACCGCAUAACAAAGCGAUGGCACAUGCUGUUGCUUUCAAAGGAGCAAUUCGCCACAAGAGGGAUCCGCGGCCGAUUAGCUAGUUGGUGAGGGUAACGGCUCACCAAGGCUAUGAUCGGUAGCCGGACUGAGAGGUUGGCCGGCCACACUGGAACUGAGACACGGUCCAGACUCCUACGGGAGGCAGCAGUGGGGAAUCUUGCACAAUGGGCGAAAGCCUGAUGCAGCAACGCCGCGUGGGGGAUGAAGCUUCUCGGAGUGUAAACCCCUUUCGACCCGGACGAAUGCCCGCAAGGGUUUUGACGGUACGGGUAUAAGAAGCCCCGGCUAACUACGUGCCAGCAGCCGCGGUAAGACGUAGGGGGCCAGCGUUGCUCGGAAUUACUGGGCGUAAAGGGUCCGUAGGCGGUGCGGUAAGUCGGGAGUGAAAUCUCUGGGCUUAACUCAGAGGCUGCUUCCGAAACUACCGUGCUAGAGUGCGAGAGAGGCAAGUGGAAUUGCGGGUGUAGCGGUGAAAUGCGUAGAUAUCCGCAGGAACAUCCCGAGGCGAAAGCGGCUUGCUGGAUCGCAACUGACGCUGAGGGACGAAAGCUAGGGGGAGCAAACAGGAUUAGAUACCCUGGUAGUCCUAGCCCUAAAACCAUCAGGACUUGGGGUUUGCCCUGUACGGGGCAAGUCCCGGAGCUAACGCGUUAAGUCCUGCGCCUGGGGAGUACGGGUCGCAAGACUGAAAACUCAAAGGAAUUGACGGGGGCCCGCACAAGCGGUGGAACAUGUGGUUCAAUUCGACGCAACGCGAAGAACCUUACCUGGGCUUGAACCGCACAGGACCCUCCCUGGAAACAGGGACUUCCCGCAAGGGACCUGUGUAGAGGUGCUGCAUGGCUGUCGUCAGCUCGUGCCGUGAGGUGUUGGAUUAAGUCCCGCAACGAGCGCAACCCUUACUCAUAGUUGCUACCCGCAAGGGAGAACUCUAUGAGGACUGCUCCGGAUAACGGAGAGGAAGGUGGGGAUGAGGUCAAGUCAGCAUGGCCUUUAUGUCCAGGGCUACACACGUGUUACAAUGCGCGCCACAAAGUGUCGCGAACCCCGCGAGGGGGAGCUAAUCGCAAAAAAAGCGCGCUCAGUUCGGAUUGCAGUCUGCAACUCGACUGCAUGAAGCCGGAAUCGCUAGUAAUGGCGUAUCAGAUCGACGCCGUGAAUACGUUUCCCGGGCCUUGUACACACCGCCCGUCACAUCACGAAAGUGGGUUGUACUAGAAGUCGUCGUGCCAACCACAAGGGGGCAGAUGCCCAAGGUAUGACUCAUGAUUGGGGUG
rnacentral:rRNA from 1 species